AAUACAUAGAACCGACUAUAAGACGACAAACCUUCGACUUAUAUAGUUGCAUGUGAUCACAUUAGCAACUAACAUAUAUGUAGAGAACAAUAGUGGCCAUCAUAAUCAAAUCAAGAAAUAUUACUUACAAAACAGAAUCACACGACAGACUGAAACAAAUUUAUAAAAGAUUUUGUUGCUCGACAGCUGAACCCUGGAGUAAUCCUUG
rnacentral:misc_RNA from 1 species